AACUCCAAUAGCGUAUAUUAAAGUUGUUGCAGUUAAAAAGGUUGUAGUUGAACUUGUGGCCUGGAUGGCUUGAUCUGAUGCUUAUGCGUGAGUACCUGAGCCAUUCAACCAUCCUUGGAUGGCAUCUGUAUGGCAUUAAGUUGUCAUGUAGGGGAUGCCUAUUGUUUACUGUGAAAAAGUUAGAGUGGUCAAAGCAGGCUUAUAACGUUGAAUAUAUUAGCAUGGAAUAAUGAUAUAGGACUUUGGUAUUAUUUUGUUGGUUUGUGCACUAAAGUAAUGAUUAAUAGGGACAGUUGGGGAUAGUUGUAUUUUUAAGUCAGAGGUGAAAUUCUUGGAUUCUUUAAGGACUGACUACUACAAAAGCAUCUAUCAAGGAUAUUUUCA
rnacentral:rRNA from 1 species